rnacentral:rRNA from 1 species
CAGGCCUAACACAUGCAAGUCGAGCGGUAUAUACUGGAACGAAACUUCGGUCUAGAGAAGGUAUAGAGAGCGGCGGACGGGUGAGUAACGCGUAGGCAACCUGCCCCAUACAGAGGGAUAGCCUCGGGAAACCGGGAUUAAAACCUCAUAACACAAAAGCUUCACAUGUUGCUUUCGUCAAAGAUUUAUCGGUAUGGGAUGGGCCUGCGUCUGAUUAGCUAGUUGGUGAGGUAACGGCUCACCAAGGCGACGAUCAGUAGCCGACCUGAGAGGGUAAUCGGCCACAUUGGAACUGAGACACGGUCCAAACUCCUACGGGAGGCAGCAGUGGGGAAUAUUGCACAAUGGGCGAAAGCCUGAUGCAGCAACGCCGCGUGAGCGAUGAAGGCCUUUGGGUCGUAAAGCUCUGUCCUUGGGGAAGAAAAAAUGACGGUACCCAUGGAGGAAGCCCCGGCUAACUACGUGCCAGCAGCCGCGGUAAUACGUAGGGGGCAAGCGUUAUCCGGAAUUAUUGGGCGUAAAGAGUGCGUAGGUGGUUAUGUAAGCGCGAGGUGAAAGGCAAUAGCUUAACUAUUGUAAGCCUUGCGAACUGCAUGACUUGAGUGCAGGAGAGGAAAGUGGAAUUCCUAGUGUAGCGGUGAAAUGCGUAGAUAUUAGGAGGAACACCAGUGGCGAAGGCGACUUUCUGGACUGUAACUGACACUGAGGCACGAAAGCGUGGGGAGCAAACAGGAUUAGAUACCCUGGUAGUCCACGCCGUAAACGAUGAGCACUAGGUGUCGGGGUCGCAAGACUUCGGUGCCGCAGUUAACGCAUUAAGUGCUCCGCCUGGGGAGUACGCACGCAAGUGUGAAACUCAAAGGAAUUGACGG